CGGACGGGUGAGUACCACGUGGAUAACCUACCUAUAAGACUGGGAUAACUUCGGGAAACCGGAGCUAAUACCGGAUAAUAUAUUGAACCGCAUGGUUCAAUAGUGAAAGACGGUUUUGCUGUCACUUAUAGAUGGAUCCGCGCCGCAUUAGCUAGUUGGUAAGGUAACGGCUUACCAAGGCAACGAUGCGUAGCCGACCUGAGAGGGUGAUCGGCCACACUGGAACUGAGACACGGUCCAG
rnacentral:rRNA from 1 species